rnacentral:lncRNA from 1 species
AAACAUGUUCUUCUUGCUUCCUCUCCAACGAAGCAUUCUCUAACCUAGGUUUUCUUCACUUCAAAAAUGGAAAACCAAGAAAGGGCUCGAUCCUCAACCUUGCGUUCAAGGAGUCAAAGGUCUUGAUGAGGAGUUGGUCGUGCGACGUCAAUCCUAAGAGCUUGGUGGCGGCCUGGUCUCUGUGGCUAAACGUGUACACCUUCUUCAUGUACAACUUCAAAUCCAAAUUGUGAGCACUUGAGAAAUCGAAUUCUAAAAGAAGUUGUUCUUUCUCUGUUUUGAAAAUGUGUUGCCUAAAUUUCCUAUUUCUUGUUCCAAAAUUGCAACCUAAAUAUUGUGUCUUCCUGAAUCCCCAAUUUCUAGUUUCAAUUUGUGAAACCGAAAGCCCUAAUCUAAUUUGUUGUUCGAAAAUGAAAACCCAAAUUUCCAAUCUCGACUUCGAAAAUCAAAAGUGAAAAAUUCAAUCAAGAGCUCUGCAAAGGAAGUUGGAUUGAAGCCUCAUUCUCGUCUAGCGCUUCAGAUUGUGGUGUCGUUGACGAAUAUCCAUCGUCGCGGCUUGAACUAGUGGUGAGUCAGAGGAGACAUUUGGAGGAUUCAUUGAUUAAGUAUUGAGAAAGGUAUUGACAUUCUUUCUCUUUCAUUUGUGUUUGGAUAAUGUUCAAUAGGUUUAGGGUUUUUUACGGCAUACUUUAAAUGAAGGGGAAUUCUGAGUACUCAAAUCUCAGCUUGUGUUUUGGGUGGCUAAGAUGGGAUAUCUCAGUAUUUCAUGGUUGACUGUGUAUGAAAUAUUGUAUGAAGCUUUGAUGUGAUGAAAAUGGACAGUGGUGUAGCAUGCGUUUAGAAAUUAAGUGUAAUUGUAUUUAUAUGUGGAAGGGGUUAGUGAUGAGGGUUUAUAAGCAAAAACAGAUUAUAUAUGUAGAAACAUCAAAAGCUUUUUCUUUUUUACUUGAAUUAAGUUAUUUGGUUGAGUUGAAGAGAGAAUAGGAUACCUUAGAAUCUUAAGUAGUGGGAAAUUAUUGUGUAAAAAUAACUAAUAUAAAUUAUUAAUGUUAAUCUACCUGUGUGCAGUAUUCCUUCUUCCUAAAACCCUUAUACUAUUUUCCUUCUAAAAACACAUUCUUAGUUUUUCAUUGUCCAUUUUUAUUUAUUGUUGACUAUAUUCUUGUGAUGUAUUGCCAUAUUUUCACCAUUUUAAAAUAAGUCCAAGAAGAAUAGGGUAAUAUUGGGUCACUUCUCAGAUGUAUAUUUUAGCUUCUUUGUGGCUAGCAUCCCGAGUGUUUAGGGUUUAGGGUUUGGGUGGUCCACAUUCUCUUCAAUUUCAAGAUUAAAAUGACUUCCUCAUUUCAAUAUUGAACUUAGUAUUAUCAGGUCAGUACAAAAUAUUAAGGAAUAUAAGGAUGAAACUAGACAUGGAAAAAUAAAUUAUUUGAAACUAAAAUAUAUCAAAAGAAUUUGUACUAUGUAAUAUUAUCAACAACCCAUUUAUUAAUUUUCUUAUUAUCUUAUAAAAAAGUUAGCAUAUAAAUCAAGGAAGAAAAUUGGUAACACAAGAUUAUGAGAAAAUUUACUAUUAUGUUAAAUGAAACUACAAGAAUUUUGGCUAAGAGGUGAGUAGUUAAUCAACUUUUGUAUUGUGUAUUGUUUCACCUUCUUGACAAUUAAGAACUCUGAAUGAUUUGUGUUUUUAGUUUCAUGUGUUAUGUUGAACGGUUUUGGUUUUGAUGCUAAGUUAAAGUUUUGUGGAGCUCUAAGGAACCUGUUUUUCUUUAUGUUGCAUGUUAUGUGAGCUCUGAAUAUGUUUCCAAACACACACUUCAUCAAAUUAUUAGUGUUAUAACCUUCUCUCUUCAACCGUAUUGGCAAUGUAACAUGAGGAUUUCAAUUUGAUAGUUGAAUUUGAAUUUGGAGCAAUAUAGAGAGGCACAAUGACAACUAUGAUAAGCCAAGUUGAAAGAGUGUUAUGCUUCUCUGAAACUGAACAGUACGAGCUCAGUCCAUUGCAUAUCAACCACUUUGGUUUGAAGAAAAUCUGAAGAUAUCAGAGUGAUGUCAUUAGGUAACCAUAUUUCAACUU